UACGUAGGGGGCAAGCGUUGUCCGGAAUCAUUGGGCGUAAAGAGCGUGUAGGCGGCCCGGUAAGUCCGCUGUGAAAGUCGGGGGCUCAACCCUCGAAUGCCGGUGGAUACUGUCGGGCUAGAGUGCGGAAGAGGCGAGUGGAAUUCCUGGUGUAGCGGUGAAAUGCGCAGAUAUCAGGAGGAACACCGAUUGCGAAGGCAGCUCGCUGGGACGUCACUGACGCUGAGACGCGAAAGCGUGGGGGGAGCAAACAGG
rnacentral:rRNA from 1 species